UACAGAGGGGGCAAGCGUUAUUCGGAAUUAUUGGGCGUAAAGGGCGCGUAGGCGGCUUUGCAAGUGACGGGUGAAAUCCCACGGCUCAACCAUGGAAGUGCUUUCGAAACUGCUGAGCUUGAGUACGAAAGAGGAUCGCGGAAUUCCCGGUGUAGAGGUGAAAUUCGUAGAUAUCGGGAGGAACACCAGUGGCGAAGGCGGCGAUCUGGACAGAUAUUGACGCUGAGGUGCGAAAGCGUGGGGAGCAAACAGG
rnacentral:rRNA from 1 species